rnacentral:rRNA from 1 species
UUACGGUCAAAUCACGCUGAAAACACCGGUUCUCGUUCGAUCACCGAAGUUAAGCAUCGUAGAGCCAGGUCAGUACUUAGAUGGGGAACCGCUUGGAAACACCUGGUACUGUAAG